rnacentral:rRNA from 1 species
UGCGCAGGCGGUUUGAUAAGCCAGAUGUGAAAUCCCCGAGCUCAACUUGGGAACUGCGUUUGGAACUGUCAGACUAGAGUGCGUCAGAGGGGGGUGGAAUUCCGCGUGUAGCAGUGAAAUGCGUAGAGAUCUGGAGGAAUACCGAUGGCGAAGGCAGCCAUCUGGCCUAAUACUGACGCUGAGGUACGAAAGCAUGGGGAGCAAACAGGAUUAGAUACCCCUGUA